rnacentral:tRNA from 1 species
GGGGACGUAGCUCAGUGGUAGAGUAUUUGCCUAGCAUGCACAAGGUCUUGAGUUCAAUUCCCAAUACCA